rnacentral:tRNA from 1 species
UCGGUUGUGGCACAGUGGAAGAGCUUGCCUAGCAUGUACAAGGCACUGGGUUCAAUUCUCAGCACUGUA